UUGCUUCGGCAGCAAAUAUACUAAAAUUGGAACGAUACAGAGAAGAUUAGCAUGGCCCUUGCACAAAGAUGACAUAUAAAUUCAUGAAGCGUUCCCUAUUUUA